CUUGAUCGAGCCGAGCCAGAGCGGCUGCUCGGCGGGCCGCUCCCGGCCGUACGUGGCGAGCAGGGCCUGCGCCUC
rfam:Micromonospora aurantiaca ATCC 27029, complete genome.